rnacentral:rRNA from 1 species
UACGUAGGCAGCGAGCGUUGUUCGGAGUUACUGGGCGUAAAGGGUGUGUAGGCGGUCCUCUAAGUUUGGUGUGAAAUCUCCCGGCUCAACCGGGAGGGUGCGCCGAAAACUGGGGGACUAGAGUGCGGGAUGGGAGAGUAGAAUUCCUGGUGUAGCGGUGAAAUGCGUAGAUAUCGUUUGGAACGCCAACGGUGAAAACAGACAGCUGGGAGUGUGCUGACGCUGAGACACGAAAGCCAGGGGAGCGAACGGG